rnacentral:sRNA from 1 species
ACAGACCUCUUAAACAGCAUAAUAGUUGAGUAUUCCAGGUCAUAGCCUAGUAGCAUGGUGGUAGACAGUCAGACUGGUACCCCUGACCCAGACUGUUGUAGUGAAGGUCACUGCCCAGAGAGAGGCUGUCGUACUGGUUCCAGUAAGGCGACUGGUCCGGAUACGUCGUGGACCGUUGUCAUGGUAACUAUAGCUGUACACAGACUGGUACUCCGCGGUGAAGCGGUAUUUCUCUGAGCUGUAUGAUUCCUUCAUCAUGGAUGAAUUGGACCGAGUCAAAAAGGAAUAACUCAUCACCACCUGAAAUAUCAAAAGACCACUCAUAAUUCCUUUAAGGCUUUGAAUUAAAAAAACACAAUAAAGAUUCUGUAAAUUUGAUGCAUUUACAGUAAAUUUACAACACGGUUGUUGGUUUAAGGUCCUUCCGUUCCUUUCAGACUCUCACCUACCUUAACACAGCUACAGUGCUACACAAACUCCAACUCUCUGCUUCACCAGCUGAAGUAUAAAAAGGGAAUUUAAUAAUUAACUGUAUGAACAAAAACAGGCUUCCAUCAGUGAAUUAGCAAGACAUAAACCUAUCAGUUUUCGUUACUUUACGAUUGACUAAUCAUUCACAACAUGCUACUCCUCUUGCCUUUUUCCCCCUCUGCCAGCUUUAUUGAUACAAAAACAUCAUUUCCCCCACUGAUAGAAAAAACAUUAUAUGUCCCCCAAGCUCAGCUGGGACAUACUGAAGGAUUCCACUUGUUUCCAUGGAAACCUUUCCACCCAGGAGAUGAGGAGCACCACUGAAGUAUCCUGGGAAAGGUUUUAAUGACUUCACUCCAAUUAUUCCGUUCUUUAACCUGGCCAUUACCAUUAUGAUGCAAACAGAAUAAGAGCAACUAGAGGAGAAAACCACAGGCUUUAACUCAUAAGAUGUGUUAUAUUUUUGAAAAACAAAAAAUCAGAACAAAGAAACUCUGGGGAAUAGCAUAUUUCUAUUUAAACAGUCUUGUAACUUUAAAGUUUAUUGGUUUGUUUUCUUUGCUACAUUUACUUACUGUCUAAAAAAAACUAUAGUGCCAGCCUGAGCUGUCCUGAAAAUCAGAAGUCCCACUUUGUAAUUUAUGAUAACUUAUCAACAAUAUUUCUGCAGAAAGACUUCUGAGGAAAGACUUCUAUUUUUCAUAACUCAUAUAUAUGUACUUGUUAACAAUGGAAGAAAUAAUGGGUAACAAAGACACCUGGAGUAAAAUAUCAUCAAGAGUC